rnacentral:rRNA from 2 species
CUCGUAGUUGGAUUUCUGGCAGGAGUGACCGGUCACGCACUCUGUGCGUGAACUUGUGUUGUCUCUGGCCAUCCUUGGGGAGAUCCUGUUUGGCAUUAAGUUGUCGGGCAGGGGAUACCCAUCGUUUACUGUGAAAAAAUUAGAGUGUUUAAAGCAGGCUUAUGCCGUUGAAUAUAUUAGCAUGGAAUAAUAAGAUAGGACUUCGGAACUAUUUUGUUGGUUUGCGUUACGAAGUAAUGAUUAAUAGGGACAGUUGGGGGUAUUCGUAUUUCGUUGUCAGAGGUGAAAUUCUUGGAUUUCCGAAAGACGAACUACUGCGAAAGCAUUUACCAA